rnacentral:rRNA from 1 species
CUUGAACGCUGGCGGCAGGCCUAACACAUGCAAGUCGAACGAGUGGCGGACGGGUGAGUAAUGUCUGGGCAACUGCCUGAUGGCGGGGGCUAACUACUGGAACCGGUAGCUAAUAUCGCAUACCAUCAGAUGUGCACAGCUGGGUGUAGCGACUUGGUGGGGUAACGGAUCACAAAGGCGACGAUUCCUCGCUGGUCUGAGAGGAUGACCAGCCAUACUGGAAAUGAGACAUGGUCCAGACGCCUACGGGAGGCAGCAGGGGGGAAUGUUGGAAAAUGGGCGCAAGCCUGAUGCAGCCAUGCCGCGUGUAUGAAGAAGGCCUCCGGGUUGUAAAGUACUUUCAGCGGGGAGGCGGUACCCGCAGAGGAAGCACCGGAUAACUCCGUGCCAGCAGCCGCGGUAAUUC